GUUGCUGCUUGCUAAGAAACUUUAAAUGUUUAGUGUACGCUCUACCGACUUGUGUUGAUAGGACCUUAUUGUUAUGUUCGACAGGCCGAUCCGCUACUAUACAACUUUUAAAUAGAAAAGAAAACAGCUAUUGUUCCCACCGAUUCUCUUGUAUAUAUAUUUGUGCAGAACCCAAAUACACUACCAUGCUAAACAUACCGUAGUCCUUUCGCCUCGGCAUUCUGAGGUAUAUAAAUAAGUGCAUUUGCAGUGUGUAUUGUGUUAAAAAGAAAUCAAUUGCUUUUGUAAUUAAAG
rnacentral:lncRNA from 1 species